rnacentral:lncRNA from 1 species
GCUGGUUUGGAAAAAAUGAUUCUAAAAGCAAGAAAAAUGAUACUUGUUUAAAUAUUUUGGAUUAUACAAUAAAUUGCCAAGUUUUCUUUAUAUUAUUAAACAGUCUAACCAUUAAAUUGCCAAUCUGUCAUCAAAUUUGCAGAUUUAGGCAAAUAACUAGACCGAUUUUUUACUGUGAUUGUUCAAUCCAAGAUGGCGGAAUACCAUGAAUCUACCUUAA